CGGCGAUGAAGAGCAUAUGCUCUCAUUGAAGGCAAUUUAUCUAUAUCCUCUGAAACUCUCUUGGCUAAAAUACGUUGAUUGUAAACACUAUGUUAAGUAAAGCAUGCCCAGUCACUUGAUUGUCCGUUUAUGGUGGUUUUAUGCGAUCAAACGUUGACGACAAAAACAACAAAGUUCCACGGUGGCCAGAGAAAAUCAGUCCUGACUUGAGGGCCGUUCCAAAGCGUUUUGUCAGGCAACUCUGGACAAGAACGGUGAGCCUCCACGAGGAAGACUGGUGUCCACGGCAACCCAUCCUCAUCAGGGUCUCCAGCGAAGCACUCCUGCUCAUCCAUCAAUCAAAAGUUGCUGCUGGGAAUGUCACAGCCAAAUUGACCGUGCUCCAGUACCACAAGCCAGAGAAACCAAGAUGCCAUUGUUAGCAAUACCAAUUCUAGCCAGGUUAGCCAUUGAAAGCCAUUGUUAGGAAUACCAGUUGUUAACAAUGCAUUAGUAUUAUUUUGCGCAUACAACCAUGCACACAGAUAUAAGUUGGACAGUAGUGUUUGUACAAUUGCUUAUAAACAGUAUAUUACUCCAGUUUUCACUACUGUUGAUCCGUCAAGGAUCUUGAGGACAGGAUUGUGAUGAUCUUGUGACUUUCUGAGUCAAAGAGCUGACUUCAGUGGGCGUUCCAGUGGGCAUUCCAGUUUAAAUUUACGACUGGGAACUUUGACUUCCCAGUUCAAAUGAAACGUGUGUCUUUCCUAAAAUCAGUGUAAAUAAUGACCUCAAUGGCAUUUUGCUUUUAAUAAAUGGUUACAAACAGCGUAAACUAAAGUAAUCACCCUGCAAGAUAAAAUGUGAUAAUUUCUAGAAAAAUAUACGUAAAUAAUUCUCCCAGGCAAUAUAGUUCCCCAAGACAGCAAUAGCAACACAGACUAGCAUACUUUGAGAUUGGCAGCAUAUUAGUAUUAAAAAUCAUUGUAAUGCGCCCACAUGUGUGUGAGUAUGGUUUCAGCUAAUCCAAAUCAAGAAACAGAAAUAGCCUUUUAAUAAUUACCAAAUAGCACUAGCAUAAUAGCCUUAAUAUGUUGUAAUAGCUUAGAAUAAGCCUCAGGCAAAAAAAACCUUAGUAAAGGCUUUAUCAAUAGCUGGUGAUUAAAACAAUGAAUUAUUACUCUGGAUAUUAGUGGUGGUUUAAAAUGUGUAGGUAUAUUGUAACAGAAUAUUUUUAUAAAUGGAUCCAGAAACACCAUUUACACAGACUUGUCGCAAGAUAUUUAAACCUGAUUGAUUCAGUCUCUAAUUUAACUGCAUAUUGCAAACACUUGAAUCACAUCGGCCACAUACAUUUUUCAAGUUGGUUUAAUUACAGCAAAGUCUACAUAUAGCUUACAAAUGGAUUCCAAACAUUAUGACUUAAAGAACUGGAGAUCACUGCAAAAUGAUUUACAUUCGACGCAAAGCAGUUAAAACCCCCUAUGAAAGUUGUUGAGUGUGGUCAAUAAUAAGUGCGAGACCUCAGUCGCUGUUAACCAAAUGGUCACUUUGUUACUGACUAGAGUGCUAUUAAAAUGGAUGUGUUGCUGUUACAAUAUAAAAGCAUGAACAAACAACAGCCAAUGCAUAUGUUGUUUUAUAGCAACCAUCUUCUAAGCAAUGUAUAAUGUAAAUAUAUUUAGCAUAUCCAUACAGUGACAUAUGCAUCUUUAUGUGAGGGAACCGGAUGGCAUUGCUGAGGCAAUCCCAAUACCUGUCAUUCUAAUACUAAUUGGAUGUUGUUUUUUUACAUUGAAGGAGUGGCUAUGGUUAAUCUACGUCAAACCUCAUAAAAUAAACAAAUGCAAAAUAAGAUGAUUGGUCACUGAAAUUACUAGACCUUACUUAUAAAAUACAAAUUCUGCAAAGAAUAAUGUUCAUGUGAACCAAAUCAGACAUGCAUGUCAAAGCUAUUCAAGAAUUGCGUGAAAAACAAAGCCGCAUGCCUAUACAUUCAUAUAAACAUAGCUUGUAGGGGCCAGCGCUCAUUUUAACUGUUUCUCAAUGAAUAUAUAUCAAAUCUUCGCCCGUCACUGAUGUCAUUGUCAGAUUUCUCGUUUUGUUUUGACAGUUCCUAAUCACACCUUCUGUUACGUGGACUAGCCAGUCAACAUUGCACCAACACUGCUUGAUCUGUCUGUCAAUCACUAACAGCCAUCCGGUAGCCCUCCCCUGGGACGAUCGGGCCUCUGUUUAUGUGCUGGGCCAACACUGAACAUAUCUACAUGUA
ensembl:lncRNA